GAUGAACGCUGGCGGCGUGCCUAAUACAUGCAAGUCGAGCGAACGGACGAGAAGCUUGCUUCUCUGAUGUUAGCGGCGGACGGGUGAGUAACACGUGGAUAACCUACCUAUAAGACUGGGAUAACUUCGGGAAACCGGAGCUAAUACCGGAUGAUAUUUUGAACCGCAUGGUUCAAAAGUGAAAGACGGUCUUGCUGUCACUUAUAGAUGGAUCCGCGCUGCAUUAGCUAGUUGGUAAGGUAACGGCUUACCAAGGCAACGAUGCAUAGCCGACCUGAGAGGGGGUGGGCCAACACUGGAGCGGGGACCGGGCCAAGACUCAGCGGGGGGGGGCGAGAGGGAAUUCUCCGGGAAGGGGCGAAGGCCGGACGGGGCAACGCGGCGGGGGGAAAGAGGGUUUUGGUAUGGAAAACCUUUUUUAUGAGGAAAAAAAAUAUGUGAAAGUACCUGUGCACUUCUUGACGUUCCUUAACAAGAAAGCCAGGGCAAACUACGUG
rnacentral:rRNA from 1 species